rnacentral:rRNA from 1 species
CCUACGGGAGGCAGCAGUGGGGAAUUUUGCGCAAUGGGCGAAAGCCUGACGCAGCGACGCCGCGUGGGUGAUGAAGGCCUUCGGGUCGUAAAGCCCUGUCGGGAGGGAAGAAACCUCGGUGACCUAAUACGUCGCCGACCUGACGGUACCUCCAAAGGAAGCACCGGCUAACUCCGUGCCAGCAGCCGCGGUAAUACGGAGGGUGCAAGCGUUGUUCGGAAUCACUGGGCGUAAAGCGCGUGUAGGCGGCCUCUUAAGUCUGAUGUAAAAGCCCGGGGCUCACCCCCGGAAGGGCAUUGGAAACUGGGAGGCUCGAGUACCGGAGAGGAGGGUGAAAUUCCUGGUGUAGCGGUAAAAUGCGUAGAUAUCAGGAGGAACACCGGUGGCGAAGGCGGCCUUCUGGACGGAUACUGACGCUGAGACGCGAAAGCGGGGGGAGCAAACAGGAUUAGAUACCCCGGUAGU